GCUCCUUUGUCGUCCGCGGUUGGGCGCGAAGAACUUGCUGCGGCUGUGGGGCACCAGUAAGCGCUGGGCAGCCGCGGCCUCGCCCGCCUCCCGCGCCCCUCCGCGACCUCUUGGGCCUGGUCGCCGCCGCAGGUAACGUCAACUUGUUAUAUUCCGGUGACAGAAGCUCCCCAUCCAAUUUAGAAGCAGCCACUAAUGCCCCCGAACACGGACCACAGCUUAAUUAAUGCUACCGGUUAGAAGUGGAGAUCUGAGGGUCUAAGGAGGGAGACUCCUUGUCCGAGGAGGUAUUGCCAGGAAGGAGGCCAGCAGCCCUCAGCAGGUAAGGAGAGCAAGCUGCUCAAAAAGGCUUUUAUUCUCAGAGUCCUGUGCCAACAACAUCUGUAUCACUUUUUUUAAAGACAAAAAUGUAGGAAGACUGGUCAACAGAAAUUUAAUGAUUAUCCAGAGAGCCAUAAGGGCUGGAUGAGGGCUCCAGAGGCCCCUAUAUGUCAGGAGCAGGGAUUUUUAUCCCUCUAGACCAGGAAGCGUUGAGUAGAAUGAAAGAACCCAAGCUUUACCUAAUUCAAACUCACAUUUCAAUUCCCAGCCAAAGGUCUUGAAGCAUGGUGGGAAGCAGAGCUUCCUUGAAGAAGGAGUUAGGAUCUGAGGUUGAAUAGGUACAAAUAUAUCAACUCCUGAACAUCAUCAACACCCUAUUUAGAUGCAGACAAUGGGAAGUUGGCUUAUGACUCUCAUAGCAUGGUGACAAUGCAAUACUUGAUAAAAAUGGUUCUUAGAAUAUUUAGAGUUUGUUCUGUUUCUCUGCCAUGUGCUUACAGGGUACUCCUAUAAAUUCCUUCUCUUAUCCGGAUUCAGAGACCUACAAGUCCUGGUACAGACUGGAAUCUAGAAAAGGCAAUUCCUUGGUUUGAGUUUUUUCAAAAUGUCUGUGCAAGGAAAAUGAAGGUGCUGGCCAUUUUCCCAGGUGGAGAUAUCUGACUCAAUGACUAGAUCUGACACUUUGGUGAUCCAGGGUGAGAAGGAGUUGAACAGCAACCCAGGUGUCUGGGCUUGGAAGGGGUCCCCUCCACCAUUAAUGGUAAGGAGAUGAGGUCCAGAGAGGGGACUGAGCCCCAAGAUUUCAGUCCAACUGCUCGCUCCUGCAGCAAUCUCACCAAACAGCAAAGGGUUUCCCACUCAGCUGUUCCCUGGUAGAGCAAGUGAGAGAUGGAGAUGUCUGGCCAUUCUCCAAUGCUAGAUUCACCUCCCUUAGGGCCCUGUGCUUUUCUGAAAUAAUGUAGGAAAAUUAAGGGAAAUCAGGAGGUUCCAGGGACUUAGCAAGGUUUAGGUGACAGCACAAGGUCACACAGGCUCUGAAACACCAAGCUAUUGCUCCAGUAUGGGUUUUAUCUGAUUCCAAAGUUCAUUCUUCUACUUGAGAUCUGAGCGCUUCACACCAGCAUGUGAUUAGUUAAGGCUGGAAAAGGGAGAGUAAUGAAAGCUCCGUGUUGAAUAGAUAUGAAUAUAUGAACACCUGAACAUCAUCAACGCUAAAUCUCCUGAAACCUUAUUUCAGAUAUAAUUAUAGCUGAGCCAAAAAGCCACUAUUAGCAUGUAAAGCCUCUAGUGCACUUGCUGUAUGAGCCACUGAGUAUUCCCAGCCCUGUGAUGCAGAAAGAAAAAACCCGAGAAUUCAGCUCAUUCACUCAAGUCACUGACACACCAAAGGAAAAGCUCUUGUAAGUCCAUUUAGGUGGUUUAAGACUGAGGGACAUGCCAAGAAUCCAUAAAUAGAAAUAAGCAUUGGUCAUCGGAGCAGUGUGGUCAGGCCCUUUCUGGCCGGGAGGUCAUUUCGGGCCCCAGCAGCUACUUGUUCAGCUCUGGUGUCUGAACUACCAAAGUGAAUUAUUCACUUAGGAGAGUGAAAAACAUCCAGCUCCCCCAGAUUAUCAAAUGGAGUUUUCUAGUACAAAAUGUCUUAGUCACUUGGAAUCUGACCAAAGUAAACUCCUGGUCCCGACCCACCCAUACGUUUGUGCUGGGUGGGAAUGGAUAGAGGGAAGUCCCCAAACAAACGGAAAGGUGUCAAGAAACAAGACCCACAGCAUCCUUUCUCCACAUUAACCCGGUCACGCACCAGGCCUGAGCUCACCCUG